rnacentral:rRNA from 1 species
AGAAUGAACGUUGGCGGCGUGGAUUAGGCAUGCAAGUCGCGCGAUAAGAGUAGCAAUACUUGGACAGCGGCGAAAGGGAGAGUAAUACAUAGGUACGUACCCUUGGGACUGGGAUAGCGGCGGGAAACUGCCGGUAAUACCAGAUGACGUUUCCGAACCAAAGGUGUGAAUCCGUCUGAGGAGCGGCCUGUGUCCUAUUAGCUUGUUGGUGGGGUAACGGCCUACCAAGGCAAAGAUGGGUAUGGGGUGUGAGAGCAUGCCCCCACUCACUGGGACUGAGACACUGCCCAGACACCUACGGGUGGCUGCAGUCGAGAAUCUUCGGCAAUGGACGCAAGUCUGACCGAGCGACGCCGCGUGCGGGAUGAAGGCCUUGGGUUGUAACCUCUUUCAGCAGGGAAGAAGCUUUUGGGUGACGGUACCUGCAGAAGAAGCACCGGCUAACUACGUGCCAGCAGCCGC